rnacentral:pre_miRNA from 1 species
AUAGCUCAUAUUUGUAUGGAAUGGGAUCGUUUGCGUACGUUUGCCGCUAGGGGCGCUGUUCCAACUGCAUACAAAAUUGGGUAA